GCAGAAUUCAGUGAAUCAUCGAAUCUUUGAACGCACCUUGCGCUCCUUGGUAUUCCGAGGAGCAUGCCUGUUUGAGUGUCAUGAAACCCUCAAACCCAAGUUUUGGAUUUCGAUCCAUGCUUGAGUUUGGAUUUGGAUGUUUGCCGGUGAUGAACCGACUCAUCUUAAAAGUAUUAGCUUGGAUCUGUCUAUAUGACUGGUUUGACUUGGCAUAAUAAGUAUUUUGCUGAGGACAUCCUCGGAUGGCCAGGACCUAGACUACUGUCUGCUAACUAAACCAUCACUUUAAGUGCAUCUUUGGAUGUUACUCAUUGUGUAACUUUGACAUCUGGCCUCAAAUCAAGUAGGACUACCCGCUGAACUUAAGCAUAUCAAUAAGCGGAGGAA
rnacentral:rRNA from 1 species